ACAUUCUGUAUAAAAAACAGAGGAGUGAAUAAACAAAAACAAAAACAUGCAAUCUUUGCUAAUUUUCCUCAUUGUCCUAAGUGCCUCACCUGGUAUCUCCUCCAGUCCUCAGCUGACCCAAUCUGGCCCUGGAAUCGUGAAGCCAGGCAAGUCCUUCAAACUGACCUGUUCAGUCUCUGGUGCCCAAGUGAGUGGUUAUUACUGGGGCUGGAUCCGAGAAACUCUAGGGAAAGAUCUGGAAUGGAUGGGUAACAUUCGGCCCACAUCAGGUGGAGGAAGCAGCUACUACAAUUCAGCUUUCAGCAGCCGAAGCACCAUCUCUAGGGACACCAACAAAAAUGAAGUCUAUCUUCAGAUGAAUUCCCUAACAGCUGCAGACACAGCAGUAUAUUAUUGUGCAGGAGACACAGCAAAGCAAGACAACGAAUCAUCCAUGCAAAAAACCAGUAAUACACCAGCAUUAGAGCAAGGAAUGAGGGUGGGUGGAGGGAAGAUCUAUUGCUCAGAGAAUCCCAUGAAAGCUCUUGAAAACUUGAUCAUGUGCAUUGCACAGCCCCAGAUCUCAUUGCCCCAUGAAUGGUGGUUGAGGCCAAAAUUUCAUCUCACUGAGCAUUAUGUUGAAUCAGGAUAA